GACCGAUUGUCAUCAAUUUUGGAAGAAUGGCUACUACAUGCCCUUGAUUUGAAUGUUGGAGUAAUCAAAGUUGAAGUAGUUGAUUUGCAUGGAAGGUUACAUGCGGAAGAUCAUCUAGAUUGGGAAAACAGUUUGGAGAAUUAUUUCGAAUGGAAGCCUAUGACAGAAAAUUGGAAGGUUCUAUUUGUAAAGCUUAAAUUGAAGG
rnacentral:misc_RNA from 1 species